rnacentral:rRNA from 11 species
AAAUUGAAGAGUUUGAUCAUGGCUCAGAUUGAACGCUGGCGGCAGGCCUAACACAUGCAAGUCGAACGGUAACAGGAAGCAGCUUGCUGCUUCGCUGACGAGUGGCGGACGGGUGAGUAAUGUCUGGGAAACUGCCUGAUGGAGGGGGAUAACUACUGGAAACGGUGGCUAAUACCGCAUAACGUCGCAAGACCAAAGAGGGGGACCUUCGGGCCUCUUGCCAUCAGAUGUGCCCAGAUGGGAUUAGCUUGUUGGUGAGGUAACGGCUCACCAAGGCGACGAUCCCUAGCUGGUCUGAGAGGAUGACCAGCCACACUGGAACUGAGACACGGUCCAGACUCCUACGGGAGGCAGCAGUGGGGAAUAUUGCACAAUGG